UACGAAGGGGGCAAGCGUUGUUCGGAUUUACUGGGCGUAAAGGGCGCGCAGGCGGCUCUUCAAGUCAGAUGUGAAAGCCCCGGGCUCAACCUGGGAACUGCAUUUGAGACUGAAGAACUCGAGUUCGGGAGAGGAUGGCGGAAUUCCCAGUGUAGAGGUGAAAUUCGUAGAUAUUCGCAAGAACACCAGUGGCGAAGGCGGCUCACUGGCCCGGUACUGACGCUGAGGUGCGAAAGCGUGGGGAGCAAACAGG
rnacentral:rRNA from 1 species